rnacentral:tRNA from 1 species
AGAUUUGCCGGGAUAUAUUGGAACUUCUAAUUCCUAUAAGGGGGUUCAACUCCUCCAUAAUCUU